GCGCGACCUGCUCGGCGGGCGAGGAGAUGACCGCGCCAUCGAGCAGGAUGCGUCCGGCGCGCACCGGUUCGAAGCCGGCGAUGGCGCGC
rnacentral:tRNA from 2 species